CAAAAUGUAGCUUAACUAAAGCCCCCCGCUUACACCGAGAAGUUAUCUGUUUGACCCAGAUCAUUUUGAG
rnacentral:tRNA from 2 species